rnacentral:rRNA from 1 species
GACGAACGCUAGCGGCGUGCUUAACACAUGCAAGUCGAACGGAAAGGCCCUGCUUUUGUGGGGUGCUCGAGUGGCGAACGGGUGAGUAACACGUGAGUAACCUGCCCUUGACUUUGGGAUAACUUCAGGAAACUGGGGCUAAUACCGGAUAGGAGCUCCUGCUGCAUGGUGGGGGUUGGAAAGUUUCGGCGGUUGGGGAUGGACUCGCGGCUUAUCAGCUUGUUGGUGGGGUAGUGGCUUACCAAGGCUUUGACGGGUAGCCGCCCUGAGAGGGUGACCGGCCACAUUGGGACUGAGAUACGGCCCAGACUCCUACGGGAGGCAGCAGUGGGGAAUAUUGCACAAUGGGCGGAAGCCUGAUGCAGCAACGCCGCGUGCGGGAUGACGGCCUUCGGGUUGUAAACCGCUUUCGCCUGUGACGAAGCGUGAGUGACGGUAAUGGGUAAAGAAGCACCGGCUAACUACGUG